rnacentral:rRNA from 1 species
AUGCGACCAACUGAUUCGCCAUUUUGGAAGGGGCUUAUGAGAGUUAAGACAGCCUUCUUUAAUAGAACAAAAUUUAUAGUCGGCGAUGGUAAUGAUACUCGCUUCUGGGAGGACACCUGGCUUGGUGAGACUCCGUUGGCGUUACAGUACCCAACUCUGUAUCGUAUUGUGCAUCGCCGUGAUGCGCUUGUGGCAACGAUUAUGCAGGCCACACCCCUUAAUAUUCAGUUUAGAAGGGUGCUUGUCGGUAAUAGAUGGGAAGCUUGGCUUCAUCUGGUGCGUAGACUGAUGGAGGUUCAGCUACAACAUCAGCCCGAUCAGUUGUGUUGGAAGCUUACUAGGUCUGGACAUUUUACCGUUAAAUCGAUGUACAUCGAUGUUAUUAACUCGAGUGUCAUUCCUAACUCCAAACAUGUUUGGAAAGUUAAAGUUUCUUUGAAAAUCAAAGUGUUUAUGUGGUUUGUCCAUAAACAGGUCAUUUUAACAAAGGAUAACUUGGUUAAGCGCAAUUGGACAGGAUCUACUAGGUGUAGUUUCUGUGAUCGGGAUGAAACCAUUAAGCAUCUAUUCUUUGAGUGCCCGUUGGCAAAAAAUUUGUGGCGCUCCGUGCAAAUUGCUUUUAACAUUACUCCUCCGAGUUCGGUCGGGUCGUUAUUUGGAACGUGGCUGGAUGGGAUAGAGUCCGGUACAGCUAGACAUAUUCGUGUAGGAGUUUGUGCGUUGUUAUGGGCAAUUUGGAACUGCAGAAAUGAUUUGGCUUUUAACAGAAUAACUACUGUUCAUUUUUUGCAGGUUGUAUUCCGAGCUACGGCGUUGAUCCGUAUGUGGUCCCUACUCACUCCGACGGAGGCCAGGGAGCGUUUGGUUACUGGAUCUGUCCGGUGGGAGAUGGUAGCGCGGGAUAUAUUCAACCGGUUUGGAUGGCGGUCAUGUAAUAGGAUUGACAAUUAG